rnacentral:rRNA from 1 species
UAGGGAAUCUUCGGCAAUGGACGAAAGUCUGACCGAGCAACGCCGCGUGAGUGAAGAAGGUUUUCGGAUCGUAAAACUCUGUUGUUAGAGAAGAACAAGGACGUUAGUAACUGAACGUCCCCUGACGGUAUCUAACCAGAAAGCCACGGCUAACUACGUGCCAGCAGCCGCGGUAAUACGUAGGUGGCAAGCGUUGUCCGGAUUUAUUGGGCGUAAAGCGAGCGCAGGCGGUUUCUUAAGUCUGAUGUGAAAGCCCCCGGCUCCACCGGGGAGGGUCUUUGGAAUCUGGGAGACUUGAGUGCAGAAGAGGGGAGUGGAAUUCCAUGUGUAGCGGUGAAAUGCGUAGAUAUAUGGAGGAACACCAGUGGCGAAGGCGGCUCUCUGGUCUGUUACUGACGCUGAGGCUCGAAAGCGUGGGGAGCAAACAGG